AAUUUUGGACAAUGGGGGGAACCCUGAUCCAGCCAUCCCGCGUGUGCGACGAAGGCCUNAGGGUUNUNAAGCACUUUUGGCAGGANCAAAAUCGCAUAGGAUAAUACCCUGUGUGGAUGACGGUACCUGCAGAAUAAGCACCGGCUAACUACGUGCCAGCAGCCGCGGUAAUACGUAGGGUGCAAUCGUUAACCGGAAUUACUGGGCGUAAAGCGUGCGCAGGCAGUUCGGAAAGAAAGAUGUGAAGUCCCAGGGCUUAACCUUGGAACUGCAUUUUUAACUACCGGGCUAGAGUGUGUCAGAGGGAGGUGGAAUUCCGCGUGUAGCAGUGAAAUGCGUAGAUAUGCGGAGGAACACCGAUGGCGAAGGCAGCCUCCUGGGAUAACACUGACGCUCAUGCACGAAAGCGUGGGGAGCAAACAG
rnacentral:rRNA from 1 species